GGCCUAUCAACUUGUUGGUGGGGUGAUGGCCUACCAAGGCGACGACGGGUAGCCGGCCUGAGAGGGUGAUCGGCCACAUUGGGACUGAGAUACGGCCCAGACUCCUACGGGGAGGCAGCAGUGGGGAAUAUUGCACAAUGGGCGGAAGCCUGGAUGCANCGACGCCGCGUGAGGGAUGACGGCCUUCGGGUUGUAAACCUCUUUCAGCAGGGACGAAGCGUAAGUGACGGUACCUGCAGAAGAAGCACCGGCUAACUACGCGCCAGCAGCCGCGGUAAUACGUAGGGUGCGAGCGUUGUCCGGAAUUAAUGGGCGUAAAGAGCUUGUAGGCGGCUUGUCGCGUCUGCUGUUAAAGCCCGGGGCUUAACCCCGGGUCUGCAGUGGGUACGGGCAGGCUAGAGUGUGGUAGGGGGAGACUGGAAUUCCUGGUGUAGCGGUGGAAUGCGCAGAUAUCAGGAGGACCACCGAUGGCGAAGGCAGGUCUACUGGGCCAUUACUGACGGUGAGAAGCGAAAGCGUGGGGAGCGAACAGGAUUAGAUACCCUGGUAGUCCACGCUGUAAACGUUGGGCGCUAGGUAGUGGGUCCCAUUCCACGGGGUGCCGUGCUGCAGCUAACGCAUUAAGCGCCCCGCCUGGGGAGUACGG
rnacentral:rRNA from 1 species